rnacentral:rRNA from 1 species
CUGGAGAUGGCGACCGGCGCACGGGUGAGUAACACGUAUCCAACCUGCCGAUAACUCGGGGAUAGCCUUUCGAAAGAAAGAUUAAUACCCGAUGGCAUAAUAGAACCGCAUGGUUUGAUUAUUAAAGAAUUUCGGUUAUCGAUGGGGAUGCGUUCCAUUAGGCAGUUGGUGGGGUAACGGCCCACCAAACCUUCGAUGGAUAGGGGUUCUGAGAGGAAGGUCCCCCACAUUGGAACUGAGACACGGUCCAA